rnacentral:rRNA from 1 species
AUGGAGACCUGUAGCAUAGCCAGGAUAAUCAGAUUGCAAGACCUAGCUAUGUACCGCCACAAGUUGUGCUCUCUAGUCUUCAGACUUUUGCCUCAACUGCAAUGUUUCCCUCCACUCAAGAAAUUCUGCAGAGAUGAACCUGUCAAUCUAGCACUGACAGAGACCAAGAUGGCGGCCACAUUACCGGAGUUGCCGAAGGACAUCUUGAUACUUAUCUUUGCCGCUCUUGAGAUCCCCGACCUCGUGCGCGCUGGCUCCGUCUGUUCAUCCUGGCACUCCGCGUACGCGGAGCUACGCAGCCUUGGGAAGUACAAGCAGGGCCAGACGCCUUGCCUGGUCUAUACCUCUGAAUCUGAUCCUGAUGAUGUUUUGUCCCUCUACAGCCUCGCCGAGAAGAGGUCCUACAAGUUAACUCUACCGCAGCCACCUAUCUGCAGCAGAUAUUUGAUUGGGUCCUCACAUGGCUGGCUCGUUACCGUCGACGAGAGGUCUGAGAUGCACCUUCUGAAUCCAAUCACAUGUGAACAGAUUGCUCUCCCUUCAGUGACCACCAUUGAGCAUGUGAAGCCCAUAUUUGAUGAGCAUGGUGAUGUCUGCAAGUACGAGAUGUCAUGGCACACUGGGACGCACAGAGGUCAUAAUCCGCCAUCCAUCUUCGCUCUUGCCGAGCUGAGGGGUAGACUCUAUUGGAAGGCGUUUGUAUUUCCUGAUACAUCCUCAGGAAGCUACAUUGUGGUGCUCAUCCACAAUCCACAAUGUCAGCUCUCAUUUGCAAAGGCAGGGGGUGAUAAGUGGACCUGGCUACCGCCUGAUUAUCUCUAUGAUGACUGCACUUAUAAGGAUGGCAUAUUGUAUACAGUGAAUGUAAAAGGAGAAUUCCACGCAUUCGAUCUUAGUGGCCCUGUGGUCACUGUGAAGAUGGUUAUAAGGGUACCCGAGCAUUAUGAUUGCGAUACUAGGUACAUUGUUCAAGCUCCAUGGGGCAGUCUGCUACUUGUGUAUAGAAUAGUUGGUGACCAUGAUUUAGAACCUGAGCCUGGUGCAUCUGAAUACUGGAACACUAAGGAGAUUCAAAUAUUUGAGAUUGAUGCUCUUUGGAGUGAAAUUAAGGUGAUCCAUUGCCUGCGUGACCAUGUGUUAUUUCUUGGUCAUAAUCUAUCGCUCUGCCUCAGUGCUGAUGAAUAUCCCGCUCUCAAGGCAAACCGUUCCUAUUUUACCGAUGAUAAUUUUCUAUGGACACUGGGACAUAAGAACAGUCAUCGUGAUAUGGGAAUUCUUAAAUUGGAUGAUAACAGCAGGGAGGAGCUUGUGUCUCCUCAGCUUUGGUCCAACUGUCCAGCUCCAAUGUGGAUUACUCCUGAUCCUAGAAAGAUCAACGCGAUGGGCUCAAUGAGCCAACAACUGUGA